rnacentral:rRNA from 1 species
AGAGUUUGAUCCUGGCUCAGAAUCAACGCUGGCGGCGCGCUUAACACAUGCAAGUCGCACGAGAAAGUGGAGCAAUCCAUGAGUAAAGUGGCGUACGGGUGAGUAACACGUGGAUCAUCUACCUCUUGGUGGGGAAUAACCUUGGGAAACCGGGGCUAAUACCGCAUAAGCCUGGAAAGGGAAAGCAGCAAUGCGCCGAGAGAGGAGUCCGCGGCCGAUUAGCUAGUUGGUAGGGUAAUGGCCUACCAAGGCAAUGAUCGGUAGCCGGCCUGAGAGGGCACACGGCCACACUGGCACUGAAACACGGGCCAGACUCCUACGGGAGGCAGCAGUGGGGAAUCUUGCACAAUGGGGGAAACCCUGAUGCAGCGACGCCGCGUGAGCGAUGAAGCCCUUCGGGGUGUAAAGCUCUUUCGGCAGGAACGAUAAUGACGGUACCUGAAGAAGAAGCUGCGGCUAACUACGUGCCAGCAGCCGCGGUAAUACGUAGGCAGCAAGCGUUGUUCGGAGUUACUGGGCGUAAAGAGUGUGUAGGCGGUUCUCUAAGUUCGGUGUGAAAUCUCCCGGCUCAACUGGGAGGGUGCGCCGGAAACUGGAGGGCUUGAGUAUGGGAGAGGAAAGCGGAAUUCCUGGUGUAGCGGUGAAAUGCGUAGAUAUCAGGAGGAACACCUGCGGUGUAGACAGCUUUCUGGACCAUCACUGACGCUGAGACACGAAAGCGUGGGUAGCAAACAGGAUUAGAUACCCUAGUAGUCC